GUAGGGAAUAUUGGACAAUGGGGGCAACCCUGAUCCAGCGACGCCGCGUGAGUGAUGAAGGCCUUCGGGUCGUAAAGCUCUGUUGCAGGGGAAGAACACAAUGACGGUACCCUGCUAGAAAGGAUCGGCUAACUGCGUGCCAGCAGCCGCGGUAAGACGAGGGAUCCUAGCGUUGUUCGGAAUUAUUGGGCGUAAAGCGGGUGCAGGUGGCUUGGUAAGUCAGAUGUGAAAGCCUGGGGCUUAACCCCAGAAGUGCAUUUGAUACUGCUGAGCUUGAGUGCUGGAGAGGCUAUUAGAAUUCCUGGUGUAGUGGUGAAAUACGUAGAUAUCAGGAGGAAUACCGGAGGCGAAGGCGGAUAGCUGGCCAGACACUGACACUCAGACCCGAAAGCGUGGGGAUCAAACAGGAUUAGAUACCCGGGUAGUCC
rnacentral:rRNA from 1 species